UAAGUCUUGGUGUAAUUUAACACUUAAAGUUUACAUCUUUAGAUUGUCUCAAGACAGACUUAU
rnacentral:tRNA from 1 species